rfam:Lentinula edodes NBRC 111202 DNA, contig: scaffold51.
GCCUUCUUAGCUCAGGGGUAGAGCGUUCCACUCGUAGCGACGCAUGAGAAUGUGAAUGCUAUGGAAAGGUCGCUAGUUCGAAUCUGGUAGGAGGCA